UACGUACCGUACGAACGUUAUUCGGAAUUACUGGGCUUAAAGGGUUUGUAGGCGGCCUUGUAAGUCAGGUGUGAAAUCCCUCGGCUCAACCGAGGAAUAGCGCUUGAUACUGCAAGGCUUGAGGGAGACAGGGGUAAGCGGAACUGAUGGUGGAGCGGUGAAAUGCGUUGAUAUCAUCAGGAACACCGGUGGCGAAAGCGGCUUACUGGGUCUCUUCUGACGCUGAGGAACGAAAGCUGGGGUAGCGAACGGG
rnacentral:rRNA from 1 species